GGGUCCUCAAAAGGAUAUGCUCCCACCAACAUUACGUAUAAAGUUACCCCACAAGACCAUACAUCUGCAAUCUUGCCAUCAUAUUCCUUCUUAAGUAACACUUCAGGUGCAAUAUAUGCAGGAGUUCCAACAGUAGAUUUUGGUUGUGAAUGGAGCACAGAUGACUUAGAGUAACCAAAGUCACAAAUCUUAAGACGAGGUGCGGGGCUUCCAUCCAACAACGUAUUCUCCAAUUUUAAGUCACGGUGACAUACUUGCAUUGCAUGGCAGUAGCAAACUCCCGAUAUAAGUUGUUGGAAGAAAAAGCGUGCCUCAUCUUCACUGAAGCGGCCUGCAUUGCAUAUCCGCUCAAAAAGUUCUCCACCAGAUGCAUACUCCAUCACAAUAGCCAGGUGUGUUGGUGUUAAUAUGACCUCUUUGAAUCUGACAAUGUUAGGAUGCCUCAAUGACCUGUGGUUAAUAAUUUCCCUUUGUACAUUUUCAUCUAUCUUCUCACCUCUCUCGAUAUACUUGACGGCAACGAGCUCGUCAGUCUGCUUAUCUCUCAUCAAUCUCGCCACUCCGAAAUUCCCAGACCCGAUAUCUCGCACCAGCUCGUAACGGUCACUAUCGUGCAUAAUCGGCAUAUCCAUACCGGGACCUACGGUAACCGCCGAACGAUCCAUUCUCUGUACUCUCAACCUCUAAUGAAAAGAAAAGGAAAACCCACCAAAUAAAAAGUUCAAGACAAUAAGUCACAUUAUCAUCAUCAUCAGAGGAAGCCCUGAUCGAGAGAGAUCGAAGGGAAAGAAGGUUGAGGUGGAUGUACUGUUGUGAUGAUUAAGUGGCUGGACGUGGACCACAGGAUUGGAUGGUGAAGAAAAAGACCGGAGAUGGGUCUAAGCUCGUGAGAAACGCACCAACCCAGAUGGGUGUGUAUUUUUUUUACGAAUUUGAAUAACAGAAAGAAGGGAAGAGAGUUGCAGAAGAAAGAUAGCUAGCUCGUGAACUUGCUCUAUCUUUACACUACAUAUCUCACAGAGAAUUCAACCGAACCGUUUGGGAUGAAG
rnacentral:misc_RNA from 1 species